rnacentral:rRNA from 1 species
GAGGAAUAUUGGGCAAUGCCCGCAAGGGUGACCCAGCAACGCCGCGUGGAGGAUGAAUGUCGGAAGAUUGUAAACUCCUGUUAGAGGGGAAGAAUAGUACCGGUUGGACCGGUAUAUGACUGUACCCUCAGAGAAAGCCCCGGCUAACUACGUGCCAGCAGCCGCGGUAAUACGUAGGGGGCAAGCGUUGUCCGGAUUUACUGGGUGUAAAGGGCGCGCAGGCGGGAUAAAAAGUCAGUGGUGAAAUCCUACAGCUUAACUGUAGACAUGCCUUCGAUACUUUUAUUCUUGAGUUCGGGAGAGAGAGACGGAAUUCCAGGUGUAGUUGUGAAAUAUGUAGAUAUCUGGCAGAACACCCGUUGCGACCGCAGUUUCUUGGUCCGA